CUACCCUCUUCCGAUCCCCCACUACCACAAAUUAUGCAGUCGAGUUUCCCACAUUUGGGGAAAUCGCAGGGGUCAGCACAUCCCGAGUGGAAUGGAUAAGCCUCGCCCUGGGAAAACCACCUGCCUGAUCAUGGUGUCUCCCCUGCCAGGUAAGUAUGGCUUCCCACGCCUCCGCCCCACUACACCCUCUCACGCCUGACACUCUCUACACACGGUCACUUCCGUCCACACACCCCCGAGCCUCCCUAAAACUUUGACACACGCAGCACACGCACUUGCAACCAACAGUCCUGGAAUGGCUCCCACAGCACGCGAGAUCAUACGCUAUUUAAGCGGUAGUUACCGAAGCAGCAGCCCCUGCGCUCCCCUAUUUACAUAGCACACGCCCUAUCCGUGACGUCAUGGGAACGCGCCUUCCCUCCAGCCCAUGCCUCGCCCUUGCCCCCUCCUCAAUAGAGCCAGCCAACCCUCAGGAGGGUGAAAUUGGCUUGUCCCUCUUUUCCCCCAAGUGCCCGCCUGCUGGGGCAGAGGGUGUGAGUUCUGAACCUCCGGCCGGCGGGGAACCUGUCUGGCAGGCUGCUGGCGCCCGUGUACCUUUCUUUAAAUAAAUAAGGCCUUUUGCAGCGCCUGAGUGGCUCAGUCCCCUUAGGGUCUGAUUCUCGGUUUGGGUUCUCUCGCUUCGUCUCUCUCCCUGCCCCUCCCCUACUCACAAGCGCACAUGUGUGCGCGCUCGCGCGCGCGCGCGCGCGCUCUCUCUCCCUCUCUCUCUCAAAGUAAAUAAACAUUAACAAAAAUUACCUUUCAAUGUGUAGAGCGCAACAUUUAGGACUACAAAGGAAAGGGUUCCUUUCAAGUUCGGUGAAUUACCUCUGCGAUGCAUUUCAAAAAAUUUUUGAAGCUAUCCGGUAUGGAAAGAAACUGAAUUUAUGAAACUAGACACAACAGCCAGGUGACUGCAAACCAACCCUUCUGUUUUUACCCCUAUUGGUGUUCCAGGCUGGAAACCCAGCUUCAAGGCUAUGUGAACAUUAAAAGUAGAUUCUAUUCUGUUGCUCAAAUCACAAAACAUUUACUGAAAAGUUCUCCUCUGGAAACGGUAAAGCAAGGGCUCUGUGGCCACUGAGGCCACUGAAGGACAUGGCAACAGGGGUUAGGUGACAGUGUCGCAACUGAAUGUGAAUCAAGUUUGAUCCAGACCCCAUUCCCUGAAUCCUGGCAGCCGGAUGCACUGUCCAGGUGCGAGUGAAGAAAUACUUUCCGGAGAAUCUGACCAGCCUUGUAACAGAAACACCAUGUCCGACUCCAUAUUGCUUCUAUUUCCCUUGCUGCUGCAUCUUACAGCUUAGAAUUAUCUGCUUGCUUAGCUCUACACUGGGCAUGUGACAGCUAAGAUUUGCAAAAUCUGCUUUGCACCUGAAAUCUACCUCACCUGAGGAGACAAGGAAGUAGGUACAGAAAGGACUAUGCUCUGUUUAAGAUGUACAGGAUCGACAUGACCAGAUUCCUGUACACAGAGAUCAACUGACCAAGGACAAAAACCUACACGGCCUCCCUCAGAGGUCUGCAGAUGUCAGCCACCUUUUGACUCCAGCCCCCUCCCACUUCCCCCUUUUGCCAACAUAAAAGAAACUUGGAUUUCAUGCCAAGAGGAGAUGGUUCUUUGGGAGAAUAGUCCACCAUUUCCUCGGUUUGCUGGAUUUCUGAAUACAGUCGCUUUCUUUGUCCCCACAUCUUGCCUCUCCAUUUGCCUGUCACACAGGGAGCAGGAGGAGCUUGGACUCGCUAACAGCCUGAGAGGAAAGACGUGGCAUCAGCCUGUAAGGGAUUGCCUGGAGAGAUUUGGCUUUAGAUACUGCAGUCGGGGAAACAAACUUCCAUAUAAAACCGAGGGCAACUCCCAAAGACGGCAAGGAGAACUGUGGAUUUACAGCCAAAGGAAAGAGUGAGGGAGUCCGUGACUGGAAAAUUGCUACAAGGAACUUGUUUAGAUAUCAAGGAUGGGGGGGAUUCUUGCUGGAACUGGGCUUGGAAGGCUGAGGACUAGGACUAACUGAGGGCCCCAGGAGCCUGACUUAAGUUAGUCAACGAGGGAGUCCUUGCCAACCCUACAGUGACGCUCCUGUUAAAAAGCAAAAGCCAAGCAAGAAGAGCAAAGGCUUAUUUAUUCAGGGCUUGCGUUUUUGCAGAGACUGAAAUGAAAGGAAGGCAGAGGAGUGGGAGAA